CACAGUUUUAUCUGAAGUUUUCUGAACCUGGAGAAUUGGGAUUUGCCAUCAGACAACCAGGCCUACAUCAGAAUGCAACUGCAGGGCAUUUUGAAAAGCGCACUCUACAAGGAAGAUUCACUACUCGGACACCUCAGAAUUUCUGCCCAGCAGAGACUGCUUUAAAGGAUGACUUCACUGAACGACUGACAAAUUUGGAUGUGUCAAACAGAGAUGAAGAUACAUGGGUUUUGGAUUGCAGAUUGGGGCAGUCAAGCCCAUUUGCUCAUUCAUGUGAGAAAGAUAAGAUCAACAGAAAUGUGUUGCAUUUGAGCCUGGAACUGAACGUAGAAUCAUAGAAUCAUCCACGUUGGAAAAGACCUUCAAGAUCACCAAGUCCAACCAAGAACCUCACUUCCAUCACUAAACCACGUUCAUUAGUGUCAUGUACACGUGUCUCUUAAAUACCUCUGGGGAUGGGGAU